rnacentral:misc_RNA from 1 species
GCCAGAUAUCAAAUUCACCUUGGAAGUAAACAGGAGAAACAGACGAGGUUCCAGGAGGGGCCCUGAAAUUAUCCAAGGGAUGUGCUAUACCUUGAGAAAGUGUGCCUUGAGGAUGCACAGGAGGCCUUGUAAUUGGUGAUGUUAUCUGCCUAGGGGUAACCGGAGUUCCAUUAUUUUGAGAGGUAGGGGUCUUAUCUUGCCCAGACAUCCCAAAUCUAAGAAUUUUAUUAUGCAGCCUUACAAUACCAGAGAAUAGCUUUACUGCAUAAUUUGCUAUCUCCUCUGUCUCGUAUUCUGCAAAAGCGUAACCUUUGUGGCGAUUUGUAUCCUUGUCCCUGGGGAUAUGCAAGUCUACCAAACGGCCAACCUGGAUAAGAAUCUCAUACAACACUUUUUCACUCACCUUUUCAUCCAAAUUACCUAUGAAGACGGUGCACUCUGGGUUCCUCGACAUGGAUUCCCGAUUGAAGGAAACCUCUACGAGAUCUAAGAUGGAGUGGCGGCGACGGUGGGGGAAGGGAAACUUGAGACCA